rnacentral:rRNA from 1 species
GAUGAGCCCGCGUUGGAUUAGCUAGUUGGUGGGGUAAAGGCCUACCAAGGCGACGAUCCAUAGCUGGUCUGAGAGGAUGAUCAGCCACAUUGGGACUGAGACACGGCCCAAACUCCUACGAGAGGCAGCAGUGGGGAAUAUUGGACAAUGGGCGCAAGCCUGAUCCAGCCAUGCCGCGUGAGUGAUGAAGGUCUUAGGAUUGUAAAGCUCUUUCACCGGGGACGAUAAUGACGGUACCCGGAGAAGAAGCCCCGGCUAACUUCGUGCCAGCAGCCGCGGUAAUACGAAGGGGGCUAGCGUUGUUCGGAAUUACUGGGCGUAAAGCGCACGUAGGCGGAUAUUUAAGUCAGGGGUGAAAUCCCGGGGCUCAACCCCGGAACUGCCUUUGAUACUGGGUAUCUUGAGUGUGGUAGAGGUGAGUGGAAUUGCGAGUGUAGGGGUGAAAUUCGUAGAUAUUCGCAGGAACACCAGUGGCGAAGGCGGCUCACUGGACCACAACUGACGCUGAGGUGCGAAAGCGUGGGGAGCAAACAGGAUUAGAUACCCU